GUUAGUAGAACAACUCUAGAGGAAAAGCUGGGCCGGAAAAGUGGGAACCUCUAGGGCGCCGCCCUGUUGCUACUGGUCAAUGUGGCCAGCGCAAUUACUAUUGAAAGAGCUGAGGACAAGUACAGGUCACCUUAUGCUUUGUCACCUAAAAACGCAUACCUGAUGGCUUUAUGAAGGUGGUACGUUAAUAUUAAGUUUACAGAAAGUGAUCGCUAAGUCCGUGACUUAUGUAAAUCACGAUGUACGCAUUCAUGCAAUAAAGGAUGACGCGAAUUUCUGUUUCGAAUCUGUUUUUUGGAUGCGUAGUAGUUUCGUUUGACAUGCGAUCGCGCGUCGACAUCGGACGCUACACACUCGUGCCUUAUGUGCCACCGAAGCCCCGAAGUGGUCUGGCAUAUAUACCUUCACAUGUAAGUAAACGAAUUUAUCUCCUUGUUGAGAAUAUCACGCGAGUAGGCAGCUCUUGUGGUACAUCACAAUCGUUCGAGAAGCGUCACAGUAGAGCAUUUUUCUGCAUGCGGAGCGGUGUUUUUAUUUGCAGGUUUCCCUUCAGUAGGAAAUUGCUGGACAGGCGGACCAGCGCACCGGAAUUGUACUGACGAAGCCACAAGCAACUCAAAGAAUCUGUUUAAUUGUUGCACUUUGAACAAUCAUGCUUCUACAAAGGCCACAGCAGAAAAACAGCCUGAUGACCGAGUAUUUCUGUGCCACGAAGUAAUCAAGAGGCGAGUGCCUAAUGCGGACGAAAUAGAGUGCAUCGAGACUUAGAACGACAGAAAGCUGAGCUAGUUCGUAAGGAUUCAUUAUGCAAAACAGAGGUGAGGCGUGCAGACAGGACACAAGAGUAGAGAAGUGGGCGGCGCGCGUGUUGUUUGCUUGUAAAUACUUUACUCUUGUUUCCUGUCUGCACGCCUCACCUCCGUUUUGCAUAACGAGUGCAUCAAGCCACAUAUUAAUAGCUUAGGCGUUUUAUUAACUGUGCAAUAUUUUCAACACUUCCUUGUAUGCCAUUUCAUGUAGCAUAUCUUUUCUGGUCACAAAUUUGUGCAGCGAAUCUAUUUGCAUGAUCGACUCCGGGCCUGUGGGACCGUUCACUUGCACUUGAUGCUGAGUCUUUUACAUGUACCCAUAAACUGCAGAUAUGCACAUCAGAUCCCUGCGAGCACUUUCAAAAUUCAAUUAUUUUCGACAACAGGCACAUAUGCAAUACUGACAUAAUCCGGAAUACCACUAAGCAGCUGGGACACAUUUUUGUUGACCAUACUCGCAGGUAAAAUAAGUACAUCAUGUGGACAGCUCCAGCUCAUUUUCCUUAAGUCAGUGUGUACAAGGGUUAUGCAAAAAUAUUUUUUUUCUCGCGCACCGAUUAUUUUGCUUUAUAAGCAAGAGAACCCACCACGUUAGUGUAACGUAUCUUGUGCAUCACACUAAUAUGUGCUUUCAUUUACCAAGUGAGAUGAGUUACUUUUAUGGCUCAUUCAGUCAUAUCACACUGCAAGCUGCAUUCAUCAAUCUUCAAUGGGAUUUUGCAAAUGUUUAAUGAAACAUGUUUCCCUUUUAUGCAGAUAUGCAAUGGCAAGCCCUUCCGUGUGUUCCAAAGACAAUGCCUACGCCUAGCCACAGCAGCUCCCUCAUACAGACUCCGCAAACCAAGAGGCCGUGGAGGCAAAUGCAGGUAAGAGGCAAUAAGCAAUAGCACUGGUAUCGACAUUCAUCUAAUUUCUUUUUAUUUCGUUUAGGCAGCCAGCACACCUCGAACAGCCACCUUGACUGCGGGUGUGUCACCCUGGUCGCCAAGGAAACAUUUGAGGGAAAGUGACAGGCAAUGUGAACAGCCACUCCUCCAUGUAAACAAUACUCUUUCUCUCGGAUGACUCCUACGCCUCACCACGCCAGCACACUUGUGCACAAAGAUGCCGCAGAGGCACGUGCAGGUCAGAGGCAAGAAGCAGUGGCACUGGUGUCGACAUUUACCCAAUUUCUUUUUCUUACACUGAGGCAGCCAGCACACCUCGAACAGCCACCUCGACUGCGGGUGUGUUAGUUGAUCCCUGUUGUACAUAUGCUCAUAAUAAACUUCAGUAAACUUGAACUUCAUAAUAAACUUGAAGGCAAAUGGUA